GACAGAGGUGCCGAGCGUUUAGGCGGAAUCACUGGGCUUAAAGCGUGUGUAGGCGGAUCCGUAAGUACCUUGUGAAAUCCCACGGCUCAACCGUGGAACUGCUUGGUAUACUGCGGGUCUUGAGCCACCUAGGGGGCGAGCGGAACAAGUGGUGGAGCGGUGAAAUGCGUAGAUAUCACUUGGAACGCCAAUGGUGAAAACAGCUCGCUGGGGGUGUGCUGACGCUGAGACACGAAAGCCAGGGGAGCAAACGGG
rnacentral:rRNA from 1 species